UAGCGAAGAAACAGAUGACGGGCCACUCUGGAACAUUGAGCUUCAGGCACAGCGGGGGUCUCAAAGAAUCCAAGAUAUUCCUCAGUUCUCUUCAAGUUUUCAUUUUGGCAGAGUGUUUGGGUGGAUAUGAAAGCCUCGCUGAAUUGCCAACGUUGAUGACGCAUGCCUCCUUGUCACCGGCUUGUGAACGGCUCGAACUAUUGGGUAUCACCGACUCCCUGAUCAGACUCUCCGUUGGCUUAGAGGACAUCGAUGAUUUGAUAAAAGACCUUGAUCAGGCGCUUAAACUAGCCUUUGAAUAAAAUUAUUAAAUAAAUAC